rnacentral:rRNA from 1 species
UACGUAUGUCACGAGCGUUAUCCGGAUUUAUUGGGCGUAAAGCGCGUCUAGGUGGUUAUGUAAGUCUGAUGUGAAAAUGCAGGACUCAACUCUGUAUUGCGUUGGAAACUGUAUAACUAGAGUACUGGAGAGGUAAGCAGAACUACAAGUGUAGAGGUGAAAUUCGUAGAUAUUUGUAGGAAUGCCGAUGGGGAAGCCAGCUUACUGGACAGAUACUGACGCUGAAGCGCGAAAGCGUGGGUAGCAAACAGG